CCUACGGGUGGCAGCAGUGGGGAAUAUUGCGCAAUGGGCGAAAGCCUGACGCAGCGACGCCGCGUGAGGGAUGAAGGUCUUCGGAUCGUAAACCUCUGUCAGCAGGGAAGAACGGUCACUGUGCUAAUCAGCAGUGAAUUGACGGUACCUGCAAAGGAAGCACAGGCUAACUCCGUGCCAGCAGCCGCGGUAAUACGGAGGGUGCGAGCGUUAAUCGGAAUUACUGGGCGUAAAGCGCUCGUAGGCGGUAUGUCAAGUCAAGGGGGAAGUCCCCGCGCUCAACGUGGGAACUGCCUUUGAAACUGGCAAACUGGAGUGUUGGAGAGGAUAGUGGAAUUCAAGGUGGAGGAGUGAAAUCCGUAGAUAUCUGGAGGAACAUCAGUGGCGAAGGCGACUAUCUGGCACAUAACUGACGCUGAGGAGCGAAAGCGUGGGUAGCAAACAGGAUUAGAUACCCUGGUAGUC
rnacentral:rRNA from 1 species